UACGUAGGGUGCAAGCGUUGUCCGGAAUUAUUGGGCGUAAAGGGUGCGUAGGCGGGUCUUUAAGUCAGGGGUGAAAUCCUGGAGCUCAACUCCAGAACUGCCUUUGAUACUGAGGAUCUUGAGUUCGGGAGAGGUGAGUGGAACUGCGAGUGUAGAGGUGAAAUUCGUAGAUAUUCGCAAGAACACCAGUGGCGAAGGCGGCUCGACUGGCCCGAUACUGACGCUGAGGCACGAAAGCGUGGGGAGC
rnacentral:rRNA from 1 species